CUUCAGGCCAUGGUUUACCCAAGACACCAGAACAGGAAAGUGAUGAGCACAAACACACACAUCUACAUACACUGACUCAGAAUGAAGAGAAACACAUACACUGAUUGCUUCAGUGAAAAAUCACACACACACACACACUGAAAUGCUGAUUCACUGAGAAGUGAUCCACACACAUGUAGCCGGAUGGGCUACUCGCCUUUCUUUUCUCUCUCUCGCUCGCUCGCUCUACUGCUCUCGCUCUCUCCUCCGCUCGCUCUUACUGCAAAACUAGGUCAAUUGGGAACCCACCUGCAUAUUGAUUGCAGGCUGGCAUCAGGUAUAAAGCUGAGCUGGUGCUUCUCUGAACUAUUCCUCCCAUGCAUUCAGCGCAAAGCAGCAGUAAAUGCUGGCACUCUGCGACGGACUGAUCAGCAAGAGUAGAUCAUAUGACAGCCACAGCGCGGCAGUUUAUUUUAUUCCGGCGUUGCGGAGAGAGGUGCUCGUGUGAUCCCCACCAGUGAGAGUAUAGCGCCUCCGGUCCUGGGGGUUUGAUUGCUGCAUUCAUCUCUCCGUGGCAAAUCGCCCCAACCUAAAUCGGAAGAGUGAAACGCCUGCUUAGCCGUUGUUGUGAGGGCUCCUCCUCGGUGGAGCCUGCUGUCUUGUCUUGUCUUGUUUGGUUUUAUUAAGUAGGCCUACCAUUUCCUGGUUCGCCUGGUUUUAUUUUAUUUUAUUUCUGAACUGUGGCGUGUGCCCACGCUUCUGUGAUCGGGCUGAAGCAAUCCUUUGCCCGAGUGUCGUGCCGGGAAUUUUAAAUUGCCUCCGUUGCUGGUCUUAGCCUGUGGGGAGCCAGACCAGCUGGCGAUUGAGGCUGGGACGACUACUACCAGUACGAGUGGACCCGUGGGGCAUAAGCCUUCCAUUGUGUGGACGAAGGACGUGCCAGUGGCCCUGGGACCUCAGGUGGUGGGUCGUUUUCACACUUUCUUUUGUACAGCACCGGGUGGGCUGCAGUGAUUUUCGUUUUGUGUGAUUUUCUUUUGGGUCCACGGCUGCUGGUAAGUCCAAGUUCCAUGAUUGUUUUAUUUUCAUUUUAGGACCCUGUCAACAAUGACGCUACAUCUUGGUUUCUAAAUAUUUUAUUUAUUUUUACUAUAAAUAAAACUGUUUUAAUAUUGGAGCCAACCUGCCUCAGUGUGCAUCCUUGAAUCUGUGUGGCCUCCUUUUAUUCUUUUUUUUAUCUAUUUUUCUUAAAUAUAUUUCCUGGGGGUGAAAUUCCCCUAGGUGGCGUUGUCAUUUUAUUAUUUCUUUUAUAACCCCGCCGACCACUUGGUCACACACAUACACAUACACAUGCA